CAGCAAUCCAAAAACCUCUGUGCAGUGGCAACAGCCCAUGGUGGAAUGAGCUUGGAUGCCCAGGUAGGCUCUCCUGAGGCCAAUGACAGAGGCAUCUGAGCUCUUUCUGUCCAGCAGGUGGCAGCAAACAAAGGGUCAAGUCAAGCCAAAGCCAGGAUUGCAGACCUCAAGCCAGGAAUCCCACAUAAGUGACAGGAAUUGAAUCACUUGGAACAUCACUGCUACCUUUUAGGAUGUGGAAGCUGGAGUUGGGAAUGGGGCCAGGAGCAGACCAUCCAGCAAAUGCCUGGCACCUGACAUGCUUUGUAAAGAACAUCAUUUCCUUGGACAACCUCAAAAGCAUUUCUGGCUUGCUCCUCAUUGGUAAAAUAGGAG